rnacentral:lncRNA from 1 species
CAACUGCCUCGUUCCCCGCUUUCGCGCUGCGUGCCGAAAAAUAGGCAUUUUAGCGCGUAUUCCCGCCGCCUGCGAAGUGCCUCAUCGCUUCCUUCUAAGCCGUUUGGCUCCACGGUGGAAUUAUCUCCUGGCCUGGUUUCUGCUGCUCUCGACUCCCGUGGCUAGCGCGUUUUCUUUAGUUUUUCCCAAGUUAAUCUUUCAGGUUUUGUUUCAGAUCGUUUUCUAGUUUGUGGAACUUGUUUGCAAAGUCCACGCAGGAGUAGGUCUGCUCCUCGAAGAGCUUUGGGAAAGGGAAAUUGCUGGGAGUCCGCUGCCCUUCCACAUUUUGGCAAUCUGUUUUGGGGGGAAGGAGAAACCUCUGUGCUGCUAGAAAGGAAAACCGGAAUUUACUGCAGAGUAUUGUCUUGUUUUAAAACGGGAACGACCGUCUCGCGGAGGUAUUGUUAGGUGCUGCUUUUGAGCCCGCCGGAGCAAAUUGCGGUGUUGACCCCGAAUAAAUACCAAGCCGGGCUGUGCGGUAUUUACGAGCCGCCGCUGGAGCGUUACCUUGCCUGCGACAAGUUGUUGGCAGAUGUCCAGGGGAGUCCCAGCUCUGGCCGCCUCCAGCGCGCCGGUGACCGCUGCUCUCCGAACGUAGGUGACGUUGUUGAGAUGUCAGCCACGAGCAGCCAACGUCAGCAGGUUCCUGGUUGUUACUAGAGCCGCGAGCGCGUCGCCGGAGGAUCGGAGAGGAACCUUGCGAGGGGCUGCAACGGUAUUUCUUUCGAUAGUAGCUUCGAAAAUGAAGGUCAGAGGGCUCAGCUGGUGAAGACGUACGGAACGCCUCAACGGGGCGACUCUGAUUUAAGCAGACGCUCGGGCCCGAUUCCUGGGGAAGGAGCAGCGACCUGGUUUGGCCGGAAGGAACGCGGAACGGGAGAGAAAAGCGGUCGAAGGCGAGAGCCGAGCUCGCCCCUUAACGGGCCUUUGAGCGGCGACACCUCUUCCCUCUCAGUAAUAAGGGAGCUGCCGGGAAUGGGAUUUCAUUCCCUACGUAUAUGCGGACGUCCGUCUGCACCGGUCGCUCGGGGCUUCUCUUUUCAGGUGAAUCGCCCCGGAAAAAGCCGCUGUCUCGUCUCGCUAGACGCUGCCUCCUUUAGGAGCAACUUGCAUGUUGUAUAAUUAGGGAGCCAAAGCCCAAACUGUUUAAAUUUCCUCCGACAGCAGCCUCCGUGUGGGGAAAACACGAUUUCUUUCCCGCUUUCGUAUCCCAGCGCGUGUUGUCAUAUCACCGGGGUUGUGUUAAAGUAUUUCUGUGCUAACGUUGGAGCCAGCAACGCCGCCGGCUCUGCUCGCGAAACCCAGCCUGAAGCUUAGUCCAGCUUGUUUCCAGGUUCUCCGGCAGAAACGGAGUCCGCUGCUUGAUUUCCGUGAAAACACUUGCCACCGCACCAAAGCCUCGACCGUCUUUUCGCUUCUGCGUCGCGCCGGCAUGAAUAAACAGUCUAAAGUAGCUGUGGUUAGACA